UACAUUAAUUCAUCUAACCUCAGAAUCUAGUUAAAAAAUUACAGUGGAAUCAACCUUUAAAGCUUAGCUCUCCAUGGAUUGGAUGGAAUACAUGACAAAUGAUGAAUGAAAGAAGAAAAAAAACAUAAAAGGAAUGGAAGAACGAGAGAGGUGGUGGAUGGUAGCUGCAAAACCAGAGAGUGUGCUCCCUUGGAUCUCUUUAUAUAGGCUUCGAUUGGACUUGGACUUUAUUUGUUGCUAAAAUCUUUUAUCUUUUUUUUUAACUAAUUAGCAACUUAAUUUUUCUCCAAUUUCUAAUUCUACCCCUCUUGUUUGACUAUUUUCGCAAUAUUGACCAAAAUUGACUGUUUGACCACCUUUGACCGGUUGACUUCCCUAUGAGAGCCUACCACGUGGCGUCCUCUCUCUCUCUAAAAUUAGGGUUUUCGCUGGUUGGAGGUGCAGAUGCAAUGACGACUGCGAGAUUGAUGCAGUAUGGUGGUGGAUGGAUUCUGGCACGGUGCAGGUGCAGGAAUCAAUGGCUGCUCCAACGGUGAUGGAGGCUGCUUGUUCGUGUGUGGGUCUGUUGCGAGAUUCGAACAACUGCGAGGUUGCAGAUUUCUGUCUAAUUCAUGAGUGCUCUGGCUCACAGGUUCGCUUUGGCUGCUGCUGCGUGGUGUAGUGGAUCUAUGGUGGUCCGACUUCUUUCUCGCAACAAGAUUCGUGGAUGGAGAAGGUAGAGAUAUGCAUCUGCGACGAACCAGAUUACGGAACCUCGAAGUGCAGGGACAUUGGUGGCGUUGGUUUUGUGUGGACGAACAGGUGCGGUGGCUGUCAACGUGAAAGCGUGCUGCAGUGCAGUGGUGGGUGGGACUCCAGCUUGGUGGCGGUGAUGGUGCAGGCAUGGAGAUGGCGGUUGCCGGCGUGGUGAUGGUGGGAGAGGAGAAAAAUUAGGGUUUCUAUUUGGGAGAUGGUGACGAGGCAAGCUCUGAUCGGUCAAUUUAGUGAGUGGAGGAUCAUGACAUGUGUCAUCAGGUGUUUUGAUAGAUUAAUUAGUGGAGGAUUUUCACACGGCAUGAUUUGGUUGAGUGGAGUUUAAGUGGUAGGAGGGGUGCAACUUAGUAAAAACUAGGGGUGCAGAACAGGUUUUUUUAGGUGAUCCAUUUGCAGGAGAAGAAUGCAAAAUAAAAACUAGGGGUGCAUUUAGCUCCUGAAUUAUUUUUUUCCA